CAGUAGCCGCGGGAAUACGAAGGGUGCAAGCGUUAAUCGGAAUUACUGGGCGUAAAGCGUGCGUAGGCGGUUUGUUAAGUCUGUUGUGAAAUCCCCGAGCUUAACUUGGGAACUGCAUUUGAAACUGGCAAGCUAGAGUCUUGUAGAGGGGGGUAGAAUUCCAGGUGUAGCGGUGAAAUGCGUAGAGAUCUGGAGGAAUACCGAUGGCGAAGGCAGCCCCCUGGGCCAACACUGACGCUCAUGCACGAAAGCGUGGGGAGCAAACAGGAUUAGAUACCCGCGUAGUCCCUGUCUCUUAUAC
rnacentral:rRNA from 1 species